rnacentral:tRNA from 1 species
UCCGAGCUGGUGUAGAGGUAACAUCUGUCGCUCUCACCGACAUGCCCGGGGUUCGAUUCCCCGGCUCGGAG